rnacentral:rRNA from 1 species
AGUGAACGCUGGCGGUAGGCCUAACACAUGCAAGUCGAACGGCAGCACAGUAAGAGCUUGCUCUUACGGGUGGCGAGUGGCGGACGGGUGAGGAAUACAUCGGAAUCUACUUUUUCGUGGGGGAUAACGUAGGGAAACUUACGCUAAUACCGCAUACGACCUACGGGUGAAAGCAGGGGAUCUUCGGACCUUGCGCGAUUGAAUGAGCCGAUGUCGGAUUAGCUAGUUGGCGGGGUAAAGGCCCACCAAGGCGACGAUCCGUAGCUGGUCUGAGAGGAUGAUAAGCCACACUGGAACUGAGACACGGUCCCGACUCCUACGGGAGGCAGCAGUGGGGAAUAUUGGACAAGGGGCGCAAGCCUGAUCCAGCCAUACCGCGUGGGUGAAGAAGGCCUUCGGGUUGUAAAGCCCUUUUGUUGGAAAGAAAAGCAGCAGGUUAAUACCCCGCUGUUCUGACGGUACCCAAAGAAUAAGCACCGGCUAACUUCGUG